rnacentral:rRNA from 1 species
CCUACGGGAGGCAGCAGUAGGGAAUCUUCCACAAUGGGCGAAAGCCUGAUGGAGCAACGCCGCGUGGGUGAAGAAUGUCUUCCGAUCUUAAAACCUCUUUUUUAGAGAAAAAAAUGCGUGAGAGUAACUGUUCACGUGUCGACGGUAUCUAACCAGAAAGCCACAUCUAACUACAUGCCAGCAGCCGCGGUAGUACGUAGGUGGCAUGCGUUAUCCGGAUUUAUUUGGCGUAAAGGGAACGCAGGCGGUCUUUUAAGUCUGAUGUGAAAGCUUUCGGCUUAAACGUAGUAGUGCAUUGGAUACUGGGAGACUUGAGUGCAGAAGAGGAGAGUGGAACUCGAUGUGUAGCGGUGAAAUGCGUAGAUAUAUGGAAGAACACCAGUGGCGAAAGCAGCUCUCUGGUCUGUAACUGACGAUGAGGUUCGAAAGCGUGGGUAGCAAACAGGAUUAGAUACCCGAGUAGUC